GGUAGAUGCUCAAAACAGGCUUAUUUCACCUAAAUAAGCCAACAUUCAAAACAAAGGUAGCAGUGCUUCCACUUCAGUGUGGCUCUCCAAGGCUCCACUGACCAAGGUUUGUGUAGUUCCCUGGGUACACAAAAUACUAGUUUUGUACCUCAUUAUCCAAAAAUAGCAGUUUAACAUUAUCUCCACACACAAUGUGUAAAUAUAUAUGUGAACACUACAGCAUGCCUCUACACACAGCUCCUCGGUACAGCAUGACAGUGCAUGGCAGAAUCAAGUUGUAUUCAAAACUUUAUGAAAAAGCCAAAAGAAAAGGCUCACAAAAUCCAGACUGUCUGAAGACAAGCCCUGCCUCCCUGAUGCUGACACAGGGUUUCUGCAGCUGUAAUACACAGACCUUUCACUUUUAAUUAAGCAGAUGCAAUUUUUCUGUUGUUUCUGUCUCAUAUAUAAUUUGUACCCACAGGACAGAUUCCCAAAUGUAACAUUUUCUGUAUUUUGAAAAAAAAAUAUAAUUGAAAUUUAAAACACUGGAGGGAAUAUGAGAUGUAGGGAAACAGCAGUCUUUAAUUGGUUGAUAUUAGGAACAGUAUUUGAAAAUCUGAAGUACAAAAAUCUUGUCUCUUUUCAACAGAGCUAGAGUAUUUCAUCAAACUUAUCUGCAUUCAGCCAAGGUAAAUGGCAGGUCAGGAGGCAAUGGAAAAACAACUCUGCUUCCCAAGAAGCCAAAACAACUUACUUCAUUGUAGAGCAUGUGGCCAUGAGAAGGGUAUAAAAACUGGAAACAAAUAUCAAGGUUUCUGCUCAUGAAUUAACCUGCUAAUUUUUAAAAUUCCUGAUAAGCAAUCCUGCUGCCUAGACAACGGCUCAUGGGACUGUGGAGGAAACUGUCUGGGUAAUGGUAUAAUCUCUUUCUGGUUUACAGCAUAUUUUAUUUUCUACUUUGUUUGGGAGAAAAGUACUGGUCCAAGAAAACAGAGAGAUCAAUUUACACAGCACAUUGGAGAAAUGCAAGCUUACUAGACUUUUUUGAGUGUGGCAUGUUUUUCUCACCAAAUCUUGAAAUCUGUCUUAAAAACAAACAUAUUUCAGUGUGUGCAGCUUCUUUGUUUCUCUUUUCAUAAAGU